rnacentral:rRNA from 1 species
GUGAAAUUGUUGAAAGGGAAGCGCUUGCAACCAGACCUGCCUGCAGUUGCUCAUCCGGGCUUUUGCCCGGUGCACUCUUCUGCUGUCAGGCCAGCAUCAGUUCGGGCGGUCGGAUAAAGGCUUCGGGAAUGUAGCUCCUCUCGAGGAGUGUUAUAGCCCGUUGCGAAAUGCGGCCAGCCUGAACUGAGGUCCGCGCUUCGGCUAGGAUGCUGGCGUAAUGGUUGUAAGCGGCCCGUCUUGAAACACGGACCAAGGAGUCUAACAUCUGUGCGAGUGUUUGGGUGUCAAACCCGUACGCGUAAUGAAAGUGAACGGAGGCGGGAACCCCUCGGGGUGCACCGUCGACCGAUCCUGAUGUCUUCGGAUGGAUUUGAGUAAGAGCAUAGCUGUUGGGACCCGAAAGAUGGUGAACUAUGCCUGAAUAGGGUGAAGCCAGAGGAAACUCUGGUGGAGGCUCGCAGCGGUUCUGACGUGCAAAUCGAUCGUCAAAUUUGGGCAUAGGGGCGAAAGACUAAUCGAACUAUCUAGUAGCUGGUUCCUGCCGAAGUUUCCCUCAGGAUAGCAGUAACGUUUUCAGUUUUAUGAGGUAAAGCGAAUGAUUAGAGGCCUGGGGGUUGAAACAACCUUCACCUAUUCUCAAACUUUAAAUAUGUAAGAAGUCCUUGUUGCUUAGUUGAACGUGGACAUUUGAAUGUAUCGUUACUAGUGGGCCAUUUUUGGUAAGCAGAACUGGCGAUGCGGGAUGACCCGAACGCGGAGUUAAG